GCACAGGGGCUUAGUGGUUAGCACGUCUGCCUCACACAACCAGAGUUGGGGGUUCGAUUCCCGCUGCGGUCCUGUGCG